CAUCUAAGCGGGAAGCCCCCUUCAAAACAAGGUCUCCCUUGAGGGCCGUGGAAGACCACCACGUCGAUAGGCCAGAGGUGUAAGCGCAGCAAUGCGUUCAGCUGACUGGUACUAAUUGCCCGAUAGGCUUGAUCUGACCCGG
rnacentral:rRNA from 1 species